GUGAAUCAUCGAAUCUUUGAACGCAAAUUGCGCUUCCUGGCAUCCCGGGAAGUAUGCCUGUUUGAGGGUCAGUAGUAACAUAAAACUCGGUUUGGUGUCAGGUUUUGACGUUUCCGGAGUUUGGCCUAUCUUAACUUUUUUGGUUAAGGGGCUUGGAAUUGAGCUUUUGUGGGCAUUUUUAGACGUACAUAAAG
rnacentral:misc_RNA from 1 species